GCAAAAAUAUGCUCUUGUAGGAAGGGCAACCAACAGCAUCAUGGGCUGCAUUAGGCAGAGCAUUGCCAGAAGGUCAUGGAAGACUGUCAUUUUGAAAAAAAUCCAUCUGGGAAUGAAAAAUGUCAAGAUUUAAUAACCUUUGAAACACCUAAUGUAGACAUCGAAGUCACGCACACGAUGAAGCAUGUAUGUGUUCAGGCAUCCUGAUGCCGGACGUGCUGGCAGAAAUGUCCUGGAACCACCUUCCUCGUAAUUCCUGCUUUUAGCUCACUUGCAAAGCUAAUUGGAUAGAGUUUCUCAGUAGUGAUGUCAAUGCUACCCAUCUGAGGUUUUUCAUCAGUGGUCAACAACCAACAUACAGCACUAACGACAAGCAGUGACACCAAUAAUCCUACCCUGGGGAAAACAAACAAACAAGCCACAUGAAUACCUGCUCUCCUAUGGGUGAAUCUACUCCAAACCAACAAGCCAUGCCUGGGCAUGGGGACUGUCAGAUUGGAGGAAUCUGCCCAUUGACAUGGCAUGUGCUAUCUCCAGUCACAUAUAUGCAAAGGGUGACUUGAUGAAUAUCUACUUAAGAAUAACUGGAUUUGGAAUUAUAAGGAAAUUUGGAAAUGCAGUGCUUGAUAUGUCGGUGUGAACUGAAGGAUGGCUCCACUGUAUUUGGAUUCUUUCUUAUUAAAAAUAAAGGAUAUUGCUGUGUGUUUUCUGUCAUUCUAAACGUUUCUAAGCAAAAA